UUGCCAGUUGCUUACCAGGUAAUGCUGGGCACUCUGGUGAGACUGCCCGGUUAACGGGGAGGAAAGUGGGGACGACGUCAAGUCAUCAUGGCCCUUACGCCUAGGGCUACACACGUACUACAAUGGCGCAUACAAAGGGCAGCGAUACCGCGAGGUGGAGCCAAUCCCAAAAAGUGCGUCCCAGUCCGGAUUGCAGUCUGCAACUCGACUGCAUGAAGUUGGAAUCGCUAGUAAUUCGAGAUCAGCAUGCUCGGGUGAAUGCGUUCCCGGGCCUU
rnacentral:rRNA from 1 species